GGGUUGUGAGGUUAAGCGACUAAGCGUACACGGUGGAUGCCCUGGCAGUCAGAGGCGAUGAAGGGCGUGCUAAUCUGCGAUAAGCGCCGGUAAGGUGAUAUGAACCGUUAUAACCGGCGAUACCCGAAUGGGGAAACCCAGUGUGACUCGUCACACUAUCAUUAACUGAAUCCAUAGGUUAAUGAGGCGAACCGGGGGAACUGAAACAUCUAAGUACCCCGAGGAAAAGAAAUCAACCGAGAUUCCCCCAGUAGCGGCGAGCGAACGGGGAGGAGCCCAGAGCCUGAAUCAGCAUGUGUGUUAGUGGAAGCGUCUGGAAAGGCGCGCGAUACAGGGUGACAGCCCCGUACACAAAAGCGCAUGUGCUGUGAGCUCGAUGAGUAGGGCGGGACACGUGGUAUCCUGUCUGAAUAUGGGGGGACCAUCCUCCAAGGCUAAAUACUCCUGACUGACCGAUAGUGAACCAGUACCGUGAGGGAAAGGCGAAAAGAACCCCGGCGAGGGGAGUGAAAAAGAACCUGAAACCGUGUACGUACAAGCAGUGGGAGCCCCACCACCAAAGCGUUUCGCUUUGUGUGGUGCACAAAGAAGCGUAACGACAGCACUGAAUGACGGUUAACGGAGCGCAAGCGACGUUCAACAUACAAAGUCAAGCAGUGGAGCGCUUUGGGGUGGGGUGACUGCGUACCUUUUGUAUAAUGGGUCAGCGACUUAUAUUCUGUAGCAAGGUUAACCGAAUAGGGGAGCCGGAGGGAAACCGAGUCUUAACCGGGCGUUAAGUUGCAGGGUAUAGACCCGAAACCCGGUGAUCUAGCCAUGGGCAGGUUGAAGGUUGGGUAACACUAACUGGAGGACCGAACCGACUAAUGUUGAAAAAUUAGCGGAUGACCUGUGGCUGGGGGUGAAAGGCCAAUCAAACCGGGAGAUAGCUGGUUCUCCCCGAAAGCUAUUUAGGUAGCGCCUCGUGAAUUCAUCUCCGGGGGUAGAGCACUGUUUCGGCUAGGGGGCCAUCCCGGCUUACCAACCCGAUGCAAACUGCGAAUACCGGAGAAUGUUAUCACGGGAGACACACGGCGGGUGCUAACGUCCGUCGUGAAGAGGGAAACAACCCAGACCGCCAGCUAAGGUCCCAAAGUCAUGGUUAAGUGGGAAACGAUGUGGGAAGGCCCAGACAGCCAGGAUGUUGGCUUAGAAGCAGCCAUCAUUUAAAGAAAGCGUAAUAGCUCACUGGUCGAGUCGGCCUGCGCGGAAGAUGUAACGGGGCUAAACCAUGCACCGAAGCUGCGGCAGCGACGCUUAUGCGUUGUUGGGUAGGGGAGCGUUCUGUAAGCCUGUGAAGGUGGCCUGUGAGGGUUGCUGGAGGUAUCAGAAGUGCGAAUGCUGACAUAAGUAACGAUAAAGCGGGUGAAAAGCCCGCUCGCCGGAAGACCAAGGGUUCCUGUCCAACGUUAAUCGGGGCAGGGUGAGUCGACCCCUAAGGCGAGGCCGAAAGGCGUAGUCGAUGGGAAACGGGUUAAUAUUCCCGUACUUGGUGUUACUGCGAAGGGGGGACGGAGAAGGCUAUGUUGGCCGGGCGACGGUUGUCCCGGUUUAAGCGUGUAGGUGUGUGUUCCAGGUAAAUCCGGUUCACUUUAACACUGAGGCGUGAUGACGAGGCACUACGGUGCUGAAGCAACAAAUGCCCUGCUUCCAGGAAAAGCCUCUAAGCAUCAGGUAACAUCAAAUCGUACCCCAAACCGACACAGGUGGUCAGGUAGAGAAUACCAAGGCGCUUGAGAGAACUCGGGUGAAGGAACUAGGCAAAAUGGUGCCGUAACUUCGGGAGAAGGCACGCUGACACGUAGGUGAAGUGAUUUACUCAUGGAGCUGAAGUCAGUCGAAGAUACCAGCUGGCUGCAACUGUUUAUUAAAAACACAGCACUGUGCAAACACGAAAGUGGACGUAUACGGUGUGACGCCUGCCCGGUGCCGGAAGGUUAAUUGAUGGGGUCAGCGCAAGCGAAGCUCCUGAUCGAAGCCCCGGUAAACGGCGGCCGUAACUAUAACGGUCCUAAGGUAGCGAAAUUCCUUGUCGGGUAAGUUCCGACCUGCACGAAUGGCGUAAUGAUGGCCAGGCUGUCUCCACCCGAGACUCAGUGAAAUUGAACUCGCUGUGAAGAUGCAGUGUACCCGCGGCAAGACGGAAAGACCCCGUGAACCUUUACUAUAGCUUGACACUGAACAUUGAGCCUUGAUGUGUAGGAUAGGUGGGAGGCUUUGAAGCGUGGACGCCAGUCUGCGUGGAGCCGACCUUGAAAUACCACCCUUUAAUGUUUGAUGUUCUAACGUGGACCCGUUACCCGGGUUGCGGACAGUGUCUGGUGGGUAGUUUGACUGGGGCGGUCUCCUCCUAAAGAGUAACGGAGGAGCACGAAGGUUGGCUAAUCCUGGUCGGACAUCAGGAGGUUAGUGCAAUGGCAUAAGCCAGCUUGACUGCGAGCGUGACGGCGCGAGCAGGUGCGAAAGCAGGUCAUAGUGAUCCGGUGGUUCUGAAUGGAAGGGCCAUCGCUCAACGGAUAAAAGGUACUCCGGGGAUAACAGGCUGAUACCGCCCAAGAGUUCAUAUCGACGGCGGUGUUUGGCACCUCGAUGUCGGCUCAUCACAUCCUGGGGCUGAAGUAGGUCCCAAGGGUAUGGCUGUUCGCCAUUUAAAGUGGUACGCGAGCUGGGUUUAGAACGUCGUGAGACAGUUCGGUCCCUAUCUGCCGUGGGCGCUGGAGAACUGAGGGGGGCUGCUCCUAGUACGAGAGGACCGGAGUGGACGCAUCACUGGUGUUCGGGUUGUCAUGCCAAUGGCACUGCCCGGUAGCUAAAUGCGGAAGAGAUAAGUGCUGAAAGCAUCUAAGUACGAAACUUGCCCCGAGAUGAGUUCUCCCUGAGACUUUAGGUCUCCUGAAGGAACGUUGAAGACGACGACGUUGAUAGGCCGGGUGUGUAAGCGCAGCGAUGCGUUGAGCUAACCGGUACUAAUGAACCGUGAGGCUUAACCUUACAACGCCGAAG
rnacentral:rRNA from 1 species